rnacentral:rRNA from 1 species
UACGUAGGGUGCGAGCGUUAAUCGGAAUUACUGGGCGUAAAGGGUGCGCAGGCGGUUCUGCAAGUCAGGCGUGAAAUCCCCGGGCUUAACCUGGGAAUGGCGCUUGAAACUACGGAACUGGAGUAUGGCAGAGGGAGGUGGAAUUUCCACGUGUAGCGGUGAAAAUGCGUAGAGAUGUGGAGGAACACCGAUGGCGAAGGCAGCCUCCUGGGC